GCAAUAGCAAGAAAUCUUCAAUUGUACAGUAUUGUGCAAUAGCAAGAAAUAUCUAAUUGCACAAUAUUGCGCAAUACUGUGCAAUUGAAAAGUUCUUGCUAUUGCUGAAUACUGUGCAAUUGAAAAUUUCUUGCUAUUGC
rnacentral:sRNA from 1 species